AGAGCCCAUGGAAACUAAGGAACAAGCCAAACCAGAACCUGCAAAAAAAGAAGCUGAAGUUCAUAAAGAAAAAAACAAAGCAGCUACAUCAAAGAAAGGUGCAAAGUAAUCUUUGUGUACCACAGAACCCUUUUUAAAACUACUGAGCCAAGCCAACCUACAGUAUAUUGGGCUGGACUAGUCAAACAUAGUUGCUGGAACCUACCUGGAAAGGACAAUGUGAAAAUAAAAUAUCAGAACGAGCACAGUACAGUUUGGCUUGGCCCUAUAGUCUGAAUCAGGUAAGACUGUUUUGUAUGAUAGAAGGUAUACUUCAUGAAAUAUGUUUUUCUCAUUUAGAUGCUGAAACAAAAGAAAGGGGCAAACUAGCUCCA